rnacentral:rRNA from 1 species
UACGGAGGAUGCGAGCGUUAUCCGGAUUUAUUGGGUUUAAAGGGUGCGUAGGCGGGUUAUCAAGUCAGCGGUAAAAUCGUGGAGCUCAACUCCAUCCAGCCGUUGAAACUGAUGAUCUUGAGUGGGCGAGAAGUAUGCGGAAUGCGUGGUGUAGCGGUGAAAUGCAUAGAUAUCACACAGAACACCGAUUGCGAAGGCAUCUGACGAAUCGGAGAUUGACGCUGAGGCACGAAAGUGCGGGUAUCGAACAGG